UUGCUAACUGUGAGCAUGCUGUAUGUUUGCAGUACAUGCACCAAUGCCAACAGGAAGUUCAGUGUGUUGUUAUAGAAAUCAGAGCCCUGACUUCCACAACAGUGUCAUAGGAAUCGUACUUAGGCAGGAGAUUUCACUGAUGCAUUUCUAAAGAGCACUUUACUGCCUUUGGACAACAUCUGCUUAUACUGAGAUCCUUUGCUAACUUUUCUGAAAUCUCCAUAGAGGAAUCUCUGGAUUGUAUUAUGGGGUGCAACACAAGUAAAGGUAUUCAAGUCAAAGAUCCAUCCAAAAAACCUAAAGACAGACCCAAAUCUGCCGACUCAGUCGACAAAGAAGAAGAGGACCAUGUCAGUGAAGUGUCAGACACAGAGAAUAAUGAAGUGGAGACAGAAGACAGCUGACAAUGUCAACUUUCUGGUGCUCAAGCUUUCAUUUUGCGGUUUCUAUUUGGUCCAGCUGUGAUCGGCUGAAGUUUCCAGGAGAG